AUGAAUUUGAUCCAAGUAUCUUCUACUACCAGGAUGCACUUCUCAAGGAGCUAUUCUUUUUUUUCUUCCAAACAUUGGAGAUCGAACCUAAGGCUUCAUACAUGAUUCACUGUGUUGGAUGCCCAGUAGUCCUUGCUGCGCCUUGAAAUGUGUAUGGAUAAUAACCCUGCAACUUGUUUGACCUGUCUCUAACCUCAGGGUUAGUCCUGGACUGUCAUGAUGAUUCAGAGGGUAGAGGUGUUCAUCUUGUAAGCCUGGUGACCUGAGUUCAAUGUCAAGAAUCCACAUCAAGGAAAAUGGAAAUUGCUUUUGAUCCUCUCUUCUGCUCUGAUGGACAAGAACACAUUCUUCCAAUAAAUAACUGGUGGCGAAGAACUCACCUGCUCCUGAAGAUGGACACACGUGCACAGCGGCCACCAGGGACAGCCACAGGUCAGGUCGUGCCAGCUGACUCUCCCCUGCUGUGAUCUGCGUCAGACACAGGAUGCGAUGGACAUAGUGACCCCAAUGAAGCAUGGCUGCUUUACAAUGCUUUGAUCCUUCAAGUCAGUGUUUGGCCUACUCCACAGGCAAUCUACCAUUCAUCUGCCACUGCCUUGCGCAUCUGUAUAAGUUUACAUCAUAGACCAGGAAUGAUGAAGUGAGUUCACAGGACCACUGACCUACAUAAGAUGGACUUGGGCCAUUUUUCCUCAGGUCUCGGUGUUUCCUAGUUUAUUAUGAAAGCUUAUUAUAACUGACUUGUUUUUUUUUUUUAUCACCAUGUCACCAGAAGGAGCUCACUGUCUAAAUCCAACUGCACUCCAAAGGUCUAGGAUUAUUCUUUUCUCCAGUGGAUAGUCCCAUAGGUUCCACUGGACAAAGACUAAGGGAUAAAUAUUUUCUAUAUUUGCAAAGGUCCGUUCUCAAAAACAUCCAAAUAAUGGGCUGUGUGUAAGACCUGUGUGUAAUCCAUAUCAAAAUUGUCCGGAGGAUCACGAUUUUCUACUUGGUGGCUGACAUGAGUACUUUAUACCCCUGUUCUUUGUGGCUUCUGGCUGUAGGUCAUAAAUGUUAUUAUCAUCAUCACCUGCGUAGUGUCUCUCCUGGGAACAGCAAGGCCUGUUUGCCAUUGACAUGAAUCCUUGUAGCUCAAGGCCUCCAAGUUGCAAAGACAGCCUUGUUUCUGGUUUCAGCAACUGCACCUCUCUCGCUUUGGACAGUGAAAUGUUACCUCCAGGCCCCUGUUAGAUAGAAUUCCAUCAUCUCACUGGUACCCAGGGAGCUUAGUUUCUUAGUAGCUCUCUUGCCCUCAUUUGAAGACACAUUAGAUGACAGCCCUCUCAAGGAUGCUCCACUCACUUUCAGAGUACAUUCUGUGUUGCCUUGUGACAGGUGUGGCUGUGAUCUCUCUGGGAACAUGAUGGGCUAGCAGGGACUCACGUUCAGUUCUUAUAGGCUUUGCUGAAAUGUCUGACCCUCUGCAUUAACCACAGCAUCUCCACAUCAUUCGCUAUGGCAACUCAUGUCUCAUCUCCAAAGAGCCCUGUCUUAGGGUUUCUAUUACUGUGAAGAGACACUAUGGGACACGGCAAGUCCCAUAAAGGAAAACCUUUAAUUGAGGCGGCAACUUACAGUUUCAGAGGUUUAGUCCAUUAUCAUCAUGGGGGGAACAUGGAGGCUGGGGCUGGGAGUAUGGCAGGAUGCAGGCAGACUCGGUGCUGGAGAAUUCUACAUCUUGAUCCAAAGUCUCACUGGGAGUGGCUUGAGUGUGUAUGAGACCUCAAAGGCCACCUCCACAGUGACACACUUCCUCCAACAAGGCCACACCUCCUAAUAGUGACACUCCCUUUGGGGGCCCAUUUUCUUUCAGAACCCCACAAGCCUCAUAGCCACAGUUAAGGAUGAAUAUCUUGUGUCUUUGUGGGAUGUUAAAUCCCAAGUCAUUAUGAACACUUCUGUCCUCAACCUUGAGUCCACAGAAGGUAACAAGUCUCAGUCCGCUUCUGGACUUGUUCCUUCAGUUCCCAGCAAUACAGACUAGACAUACCACGUGACUCAUCUGCUCGCUCACUUCUUUCCUUUCCUAACAGUAGCUUUACUCCUUCUCUGCUGAGAUAUGAGCCUGAUUACUACUGGUCUGGAGAUACCACAUGGAGAGACAGGGUGGAACCUGCAAUGAAGCAGCCACUUAAGGAGAGAAGAUAUUGAGCCAGGCAGUGAUGGCGCACACCUUUAAUCCCAGCACUCAGGAGGCAGAGGCAGGAGGAUUUCUUUGUUAGAGGCUAGCCUGGGCUACAGAGUGAGUUCCAGGACACCCAGGGCUACACAGAGAAACCUUGUCUCAAAAAAACUGAGGGGGAGAGUAGGGAGAGAGAGAAGAGAGAGAGAGAAAGGCACAUACACACACACACACAGGUUCGUAGACUGUUCUCAUCUAGCAAAAGUAAGGAGAGUUUUGAAGGAAUCUGGGCAGUUCAUGGGUCUUGGGAAAAACAGUAUACACCUGCUUCCCUGGUGUGUCUUUCAUCGUGAGCAGAGAAGAUACACAAGGUCUGCACAUUCAGUAUCCUGUUAACUCUCCACAUCUUCAAAUCAAAUCCCGAAAACCCAAUCAACUUCUUGUAAAUAUCAAUUUGCAAUGAAGGGAUAGAAUUUUCCACAG